GCGAGGUUUGAAUAGAAAUGCUCAAAAAUAAUUUUUUAUCCGCAAAUAUAUAUUUUUAAUAAUCUAAUCAUAAACAAAAUAUUUAUCAAAAGAUGCUUAGUUCUAAUUCUAUUUGUUGUUUGGAAUAAAUAUCAAAUAUUAAAUGAAUAACUUUUGAAUUUUGUGAAUUUGCUAUGCACGAAGCAAUGAUAUAUGGUAACACUACUGUGGUACAGGAACAGUAGGAUUAUCUAGGAUUAAAGAUGGCCGGUUGUCAACAAAGGGUGUUUGUGCUUUAUCUUGUUAGUAAACUUAGCAUUGAAAUAAAAUGGAAAAAUAUUUGAACGAUGCGUCAAAUGAAGAGGUUAGCAAGAGCACGCCGCUGUAUUGUCAUAGAAAAAUGAUACUGAAGAUAUAAAUCCAGUCAAUUUUACAAGAUCAAACACAUGAUGAUAUUUGGGAUCAUUUCGUGAAGAUUGAUGGUUCAAAAUAAUGCAUUCGGAGUUCAUCCCGCUUGUUAAAUUUGUGGAUGAAUUACAGUCACUGAAGAUGGGGACUAGUCUUGAAUUUAAAAUCUUCACAUAUAAUGAAGUGCGAUGAAACGGUAGUGAGAUGAGACAAGUCAUAUUCUUUUUUGCCCUAGGAGCACAUGGCAGAUCUUAGAAGUUACUUUAGUCAAGACAAUAUUUGAGGAGUACAAUUGUAAAUAGGUCAAGACUAGAGAAUGAUAUAGGUUCAGAAAUUAUAUCUGUUCCAUGUACAGUAGAAACUCGUUUACCCGGCUUUCGGUUAUGCAAACUACAAAC